GGAUCCCAAGUGUCAUUCUUAAAGGGAUGACUUUUCAUUUGUGUAAAAAGCUUUUGGAAUAAGAGCUGGGCAAGACUGGUGCCAGCCGCCGCGGUAACACCAGCAGCUCGAGUGGUGGUCGUUUUUAUUGGGCCUAAAGCGUUCGUAGCCGGUUUUUUAAGUCUUUGGUGAAAGUCUAUAGCUUAACUGUAGAAAUUGCUGGGGAUACUAUUGAACUUGAGGUCGGGAGAGGUUAGAGGUACUCCCAGGGUAGGGGUGAAAUCCUGUAAUCCUGGGAGGACCACCUGUGGCGAAGGCGUC
rnacentral:rRNA from 1 species